rnacentral:rRNA from 1 species
UGGGGGAUUUUGGACAAUGGGCGCAAGCCUGAUCCAGCAAUGCCGCGUGCAGGAUGAAGGCCUUCGGGUUGUAAACUGCUUUUGUACGGAACGAAACGGUCUUUUCUAAUACAGAAGGCUAAUGACGGUACCGUAAGAAUAAGCACCGGCUAACUACGUGCCAGCAGCCGCGGUAAUACGUAGGGUGCGAGCGUUAAUCGGAAUUACUGGGCGUAAAGCGUGCGCAGGCGGUUAUAUAAGACAGGUGUGAAAUCCCCGGGCUUAACCUGGGAAUUGCAUUUGUGACUAUAUAGCUGGAGUACGGCAGAGGGGGAUGGAAUUCCGCGUGUAGCAGUGAAAUGCGUAGAUAUGCGGAGGAACACCGAUGGCGAAGGCAAUCCCCUGGGCCUGUACUGACGCUCAUGCACGAAAGCGUGGGGAGCAAACA